UCCUGUCAGUUGAAGCAAAGGAAAAACGUGAUAUUUACCCAAAAUUGAGUAGAUGAGAAAAAACACCAACUCCGACAGAAUCCAGAAAGCCAGUCUACUAUUUGAACAGGUCAUUGAUUUAUAAAUGUCAAAACUGAUAUUAAAAACAAACGUCAAAUUUUACAGCCAGGAAAAAAAUCUUAACAUGCAGUAAAUAAGUAGCUUAGUGUGUCUAAGACAGUUUUUUAACUAGAAAUCAAACUUUAUCAAUGUUACCAGGUGAAACGGUAAAUCUAACUCUGAAACCGUAACCACUCCCUUUUUGCCACGGACAGUAUAAAGUGCAUGAACUGCAGUGCAGGUUAGAUUAACCUGGACGCUAAUUCGGAUCGAGGCUGCCCUGCACCAGCACAAGAUCUCUUGGCCGGAGGAAUCGACCAUCCACAUCACCAGCAGCCCCACGAUCUAUUGGCAGGGUUGCCACGAUUUGAGCUCGCGAAUCGCCAACCUGUACGACGCCGACCCGCGGACGCUGUUCCCCCAGCCGGCGAGUAUCUUCAACCGGGGCUCGUUUAAGUCGGCCAACCGGAGCAACGCGAAUUGAUUAUCCCGCUGACCUCGUCGAGCGGUUCCGUCUGCCAGGGGGCGCUGAUAUGAACGAAGAUGUCUCGAGUGCAAGGACUUCCGCGACUCGACCGUCUACUGCGGGGACGACAAGCGGGCGGACGCCAACGACUA